rfam:Hordeum vulgare subsp. vulgare, WGS project CAJW01000000 data, contig: morex_contig_244397
CUCAUACUCCCUCCGUCUCAAAAUUCUUGUCUUAGGUUUAUUUAGAAAUAAAUGUAUUCAAAUAUUAAAGCGUGACUAGAUACAUUUAUAUAUAGACAAAUGUAAGACAAGAAUUUUGAGACGGAAGGAGGGAGUACAAU